rnacentral:rRNA from 1 species
GACGAACCGUGCGAACGUUGUUCGGAAUCACUGGGCUUAAAGGGCGCGUAGGCGGUUCAUCAAGUCCGGGGUGAAAUCUUUCGGCUCAACCGGAAAAGUGCCCCUGAUACUGAUGAUCUCGAGGGAGGUAGGGGUCCGCGGAACUUCUGGCGGAGCGGUGAAAUGCGUUGAUAUCAGAAGGCACGCCGGUGGCGAAAGCGGCGGACUGGAUCUCUUCUGACGCUGAGGCGCGAAAGCCCGGGGAGCAAACGGG